rnacentral:rRNA from 1 species
AUACGAAGGGAGCUAGCGUUGUUCGGAAUUACUGGGCGUAAAGCGCGCGUAGGCCGAUUGGUCAGUUAGGGGUGAAAUCCCAGGGCUUAACCCUGGAACUGCCUCUAAUACUGCCAGUCUUGAGUUCGGGAGAGGUGAGUGGAAUUCCUAGUGUAGAGGUGAAAUUCGUAGAUAUUAGGAAGAACACCAGUGGCGAAGGCGGCUCACUGGCCCGAUACUGACGCUGAGGCGCGAAAGCGUGGGGAGCAAACAGGAUUAGAUACCCUUGUAGUCC